rnacentral:snRNA from 1 species
UUGGCAGCACAUACUAGUUAUACUAAAAUUGGACCGAUACAGAAAUUAGCAUGAUCCCUGGGCAAAGAUGGCACACAAAUUUGUGAAGCAUUCUGUAUGUAU